rnacentral:rRNA from 1 species
UACAGAGGGUGCAAGCGUUGUUCGGAAUUAUUGGGCGUAAAGAGCGUGUAGGCGGCUUUACAGGUCCGUUGUGAAAACUCGAGGCUCAACCUCGAGACGCCGGUGGAAACCGUAAGGCUAGAGUCCGGAAGAGGAGAGUGGAAUUCCUGGUGUAGCGGUGAAAUGCGCAGAUAUCAGGAGGAACACCCGUGGCGAAAGCGGCUCUCUGGGACGGUACUGACGCUGAGGAGCGAAAGCGUGGGGAGCGAACAGG